UGGGGAAUAUUGGACAAUGGGCGAAAGCCUGAUCCAGCCAUGCCGCGUGUGUGAAGAAGGUCUUCGGAUUGUAAAGCACUUUAAGUUGGGAGGAAGGGCCAUUACCUAAUACGUGAUGGUUUUGACGUUACCGACAGAAUAAGCACCGGCUAACUCUGUGCCAGCAGCCGCGGUAAUACAGAGGGUGCAAGCGUUAAUCGGAAUUACUGGGCGUAAAGCGCGCGUAGGUGGUUUGUUAAGUUGGAUGUGAAAUCCCCGGGCUCAACCUGGGAACUGCAUUCAAAACUGACUGACUAGAGUAUGGUAGAGGGUGGUGGAAUUUCCUGUGUAGCGGUGAAAUGCGUAGAUAUAGGAAGGAACACCAGUGGCGAAGGCGACCACCUGGACUGAUACUGACACUGAGGUGCGAAAGCGUGGGGAGCAAACAGGAUUAGAUACCCCGGUAGUCCCUGAGCGGGCUGGCAAGGCGCAU
rnacentral:rRNA from 1 species